rnacentral:tRNA from 1 species
GGAGCACUGGCGCAAUGGCCGCGCGUCGGUUUCCGGUACCGAAGGUUCCAGGUUCGAGCCCUGGGUGCUUCG